rnacentral:rRNA from 1 species
GACGAACGCUGGCGGCGCGCCUCAUACAUGCAAGUCGAGCGAGAACCGGCCCUUCGGGGCCGGGGACAGCGGCGAACGGGUGAGUAACACGUGGGUAAUCAACCCUCGGCACUGGGAUAGCCCGGGGAAACCCGGAUUAAUACCGGAUGGCCCCUCGAGUCUUCGGACUUGACGGAAAAGGUAGCUUCGGCCUCCGGCCGAGGACGAGCCCGCGGCGGAUUAGCUAGUUGGUGGGGUAAUGGCCUACCAAGGCGACGAUCCGUAGCUGGUCUGAGAGGACGAUCAGCCACACUGGGACUGAGAUACGGCCCAGACUCCUACGGGAGGCAGCAGUAGGGAAUCUCGCGCUAAUGCGGGCAACCGUGACGCAGCGACGCCGCGUGCGGGAAGAAGGCCUUCGGGUUGUAAACCGCUUUCAGGAGGGACGAAGCUACUCGGGUUAAUAGCCCAGAGGGUGACGGUACCUCCAGAAGAAGCCCCGGCUAACUACGUGCCAGCCGCCGCCGUAAGAC